rnacentral:rRNA from 1 species
GACGAACGCUGGCGGCGUGCUUAACACAUGCAAGUCGAACGGAAAGUCCCUGCUUUUGUGGGGUGCUCGAGUGGCGAACGGGUGGGUAACACGUGAGUAACCUGCCCUUGACUUUGGGAUAACUUCAGGAAACUGGGGCUAAUACCGGAUAGGAGCUCCUGCUGCAUGGUGGGGGUUGGAAAGUUUCGGCGGUUGGGGAUGGACUCGCGGCUUAUCAGCUUGUUGGUGGGGUAGUGGCUUACCAAGGCUUUGACGGGUAGCCGGCCUGAGAGGGUGACCGGCCACAUUGGGACUGAGAUACGGCCCAGACUCCUACGGGAGGCAGCAGUGGGGAAUAUUGCACAAUGGGCGGAAGCCUGAUGCAGCAACGCCGCGUGCGGGAUGACGGCCUUCGGGUUGUAAACCGCUUUCGCCUGUGACGAAGCGUGAGUGACGGUAAUGGGUAAAGAAGCACCGGCUAACUACGUG